rnacentral:rRNA from 1 species
UGGGUUAGUCGGGUCCUAAGCUGAGGCCGACAGGCGUAGGCGAUGGAUAACAGGUUGAUAUUCCUGUACCACCAUAAUUCGUUUUAAGCGAUGGGGGGACGCAGUAGGAUAGGCGAAGCGUGCUGUUGGAGUGCACGUCCAAGCAAUGAGACUGAGUAUUAGGCAAAUCCGGUACUCUUAAGGUCAAGUUGUGAUGGGGAGAGGAAAUUGUUUCCUCGAGUCGUUGAUUUCACACUGCCAAGAAAAGCCUCUAGCUAGAAGUGUGGUGCCCGUACCGCAAACCGACACAGGUAGUCAAGAUGAGAAUUCUAAGGUGAGCGAGCGAACUCUCGUUAAGGAACUCGGCAAAAUGACCCCGUAACUUCGGGAGAAGGGGUGCUCUUUAGGGUUAACGCCCAGGAGAGCCGCAGUGAAUAGGCCCAAGCGACUGUUUAUCAAAAACACAGGUCUCUGCUAAACCGUAAGGUGAUGUAUAGGGGCUGACGCCUGCCCGGUGCUGGAAGGUUAAGAGGAGUGGUUAGCUUCUGCGAAGCUACGAAUCGAAGCCCCAGUAAACGGCGGCCGUAACUAUAACGGUCCUAAGGUAGCGAAAUUCCUUGUCGGGUAAGUUCCGACCCGCACGAAAGGCGUAACGAUUUGGGCACUGUCUCAACGAGAGACUCGGUGAAAUCAUAGUACCUGUGAAGAUGCAGGUUACCCGCGACAGGACGGAAAGACCCCGUGGAGCUUUACUGUAGUCUGAUAUUGAAAUUCGUCACAGCUUGUACAGGAUAGGUAGGAGCCGUUGAUACGUGAGCGCUAGCUUACGUGGAGGCGUUGGUGGGAUACUACCCUCGCUGUGUUGGAUUUCUAACCCGCACCAUUUAUCAUGGUGGGAGACAGUGUCAGAUGGGCAGUUUGACUGGGGCGGUCGCCUCCUAAAGAGUAACGGAGGCGCUCAAAGGUUUCCUCAGAAUGGUUGGAAAUCAUUCAUAGAGUGUAAAGGCAUAAGGAAGCUUGACUGCGAGACCUACAAGUCGAGCAGGGUCGAAAGACGGACUUAGUGAUCCGGUGGUUCCGCAUGGAAGGGCCAUCGCUCAACGGAUAAAAGCUACCCCGGGGAUAACAGGCUUAUCUCCCCCAAGAGUUCACAUCGACGGGGAGGUUUGGCACCUCGAUGUCGGCUCAUCGCAUCCUGGGGCUGUAGUCGGUCCCAAGGGUUGGGCUGUUCGCCCAUUAAAGCGGUACGCGAGCUGGGUUCAGAACGUCGUGAGACAGUUCGGUCCCUAUCCGUCGUGGGCGUAGGAAAUUUGAGAGGAGCUGUCCUUAGUACGAGAGGACCGGGAUGGACAUACCUCUGGUGUACCAGUUGUCGUGCCAACGGCAUCGCUGGGUAGCUAUGUAUGGACGGGAUAAGUGCUGAAAGCAUCUAAGCAUGAAGCCCCCCUCAAGAUGAGAUUUCCCAACUUCGGUUAUAAGAUCCCUCAAAGAUGAUGAGGUUAAUAGGUUCGAGGUGGAAGCGUAGCGAUACGUGGAGCUGACGAAUACUAAUCGAUCGAAGACUUAAUCAAUUU